rnacentral:rRNA from 1 species
AGAGUUUGAUCCUGGCUCAGAGCGAACGCUGGCGGCAGGCUUAACACAUGCAAGUCGAGCGGGCGUAGCAAUACGUCAGCGGCAGACGGGUGAGUAACGCGUGGGAACGUACCUUUUGGUUCGGAACAACACAGGGAAACUUGUGCUAAUACCGGAUAAGCCCUUACGGGGAAAGAUUUAUCGCCGAAAGAUCGGCCCGCGUCUGAUUAGCUAGUUGGUGAGGUAAUGGCUCACCAAGGCGACGAUCAGUAGCUGGUCCGAGAGGAUGAUCAGCCACAUUGGGACUGAGACACGGCCCAAACUCCUACGGGAGGCAGCAGUGGGGAAUAUUGGACAAUGGGCGCAAGCCUGAUCCAGCCAUGCCGCGUGAGUGAUGAAGGCCCUAGGGUUGUAAAGCUCUUUUGUGCGGGAAGAUAAUGACGGUACCGCAAGAAUAAGCCCCGGCUAACUUCGUGCCAGCAGCCGCGGUAAUACGAAGGGGGCUAGCGUUGCUCGGAAUCACUGGGCGUAAAGGGUGCGUAGGCGGGUCUUUAAGUCAGGGGUGAAAUCCUGGAGCUCAACUCCAGAACUGCCUUUGAUACUGAGGAUCUUGAGUUCGGGAGAGGUGAGUGGAACUGCGAGUGUAGAGGUGAAAUUCGUAGAUAUUCGCAAGAACACCAGUGGCGAAGGCGGCUCACUGGCCCGAUACUGACGCUGAGGCACGAAAGCGUGGGGAGCAAACAGGAUUAGAUACCCUAGUAGUCC